UUAGAGUUUGGAUCCUGGCUCAGGACGAACGCUGGCGGCGUGCCUAAUACAUGCAAGUCGAGCGGGGUUAUGUAGAAGCUUGCUUCUACAUAACCUAGCGGCGGACGGGUGAGUAACACGUAGGCAACCUGCCCACAAGACAGGGAUAACUACCGGAAACGGUAGCUAAUACCCGAUACAUCCUUUUCCUGCAUGGGAGAAGGAGGAAAGACGGAGCAAUCUGUCACUUGUGGAUGGGCCUGCGGCGCAUUAGCUAGUUGGUGGGGUAAAGGCCUACCAAGGCGACGAUGCGUAGCCGACCUGAGAGGGUGAUCGGCCACACUGGGACUGAGACACGGCCCAGACUCCUACGGGAGGCAGCAGUAGGGAAUCUUCCGCAAUGGGCGAAAGCCUGACGGAGCAACGCCGCGUGAGUGAUGAAGGUUUUCGGAUCGUAAAGCUCUGUUGCCAGGGAAGAACGUCUUGUAGAGUAACUGCUACAAGAGUGACGUACCUGGAGAGCCGGAG
rnacentral:rRNA from 1 species